rnacentral:rRNA from 1 species
AUGGCCGGAACCACCGCCGCGGCUCCGAUGGACGCCGACGCCGCCGCCGUGCGGCCGGCCACCAAGGGCAAGGCGACCCUCUCCGCCGCCGCUGCCGUCAAAUCUUCGCCAUGGGUCGAGAAGUACCGCCCCCAGUCCCUCGCCGACGUCGCCGCCCACCGCGACAUCGUGGACACCAGUGAGUGCCCCUCUCCCCUUGGCUCUGGCCCUCACUACCUCUACGAUUUUUACCACAUGAUAGUUGAAUAUGUCAUUGAGAAGUAUACAAGGAGCACAAGGUUUGCACUGAUAUGCAACCAUGUGAACAAAAUAAUUCCAGCACUACAAUCAAGGUGCACUAGGUUUAGAUUUGCUCCACUUGAUGGCACUAAUGUUAGUGAGCGUCUCCAACAUGUAAUAAAAUCUGAGGGACUUGAUGUCGAUAAGGGUGGCUUGACAGCCCUCGUGCGGUUAAGUAACGGUGACAUGAGGAAGGCUUUGAAUAUAUUGCAGUCAACACACAUGGCAUCCCCACAAAUAACAGAAGAAGCUGUCUACCUUUGCACGGGAAACCCCAUGCCUAAAGAUAUUGAGCAGAUAGCGAGUUGGUUACUAAAUGAACCAUUUUCAACCAGCUUUAAAUAUAUAUCUGAUACGAAGAUGAGAAAAGGUCUGGCCUUGAUUGAUAUCAUACGAGAGGUCACUAUGUUUGUGUUCAAAAUUAAUAUGCCAUCCAAUGUACGAGUAAAGUUGAUUAAUGAUUUGGCAGAUAUUGAGUAUCGGCUAACCUUCGCCUGCAACAACAAACUGCAGCUUGGGGCACUGAUCUCGACUUUCACGACUGCUCGGGCGGCUAUGGUUGCUGCUGCCGCCUAA